CUGCAGGGGUGCAGAGCGUGCAGACUCCCCGCCGGGGGCGGGAGGGCGAGUACCGCGUCCCCUCCUAGAAAGCAGCUGCGGUGGAACCUGUGUCCCUCUCCCACCCACGUACCAGAUGAGAAAUGGGCCCAAUGCACAGAGGCGGCUACCAUCUUCCAUAAGAGCAACUUCCAUAAGAGGGAGAAGGUCAUUUUGAAAUGGGUCAGUUCUCCAUGAGCUUAUCUGAGGGGAAGAUUUCAUGUGCCAGCCUCUGGUGAAGGAUAAACUUUCAGGAAGCUUUGUUAGGGAGGAAAAGUGCAGAAUGCCAUUUUCUACAUUUUUCACGUGUGUGUUUUCCAGCCAAGAGGCAGAAUCUGCAGACUUCAAUGCACUUAUUAAGGUUUCCUUUAAGGUUGACCCUGUAUAUUCACAGAGCUGUACUAGUUUCCUUGAUGAACCUUACGGCCUAUGUCUGGAGAAGAGAACUGAGCAAAUAAUUAGCAACAAAUAAUUUAUCAGUUGAACUUGAAGUCUUUUACUGAUCAUGGAACAUGCACUAGUAGAUGAUAGUUAUAUUAGAUUUAUUCAGUAUAUGUAAUUACUUGAGUUGUGUGUGUGUGUGUGUGAGAUAAUUUUUUAAAACUCCAUGCUGCGUGUGAACAGUUCGCUAAUAUUCCAUAUUCAUGCUGUAUUGGUCAGUUGUGAUUAGUCUAACAAGUAACAUUGUAUUAUUUUUGUUCUCUCAUUAGAUGAGCAUGUAGAUACUUCUGUGGAUACAUGCAAAUGCAAACUUUAAUAUCAGUCUCCACAAAUACUUAUUCAGGCAACUUUGGAAAUUUAUUUGCAUGAAAAAUUCAUGCUAGUAAAAUUAAUUUGACAAAUGUUAAUGGAAAGUGAAUGCAAAAGAGAAGCAGGAAUAGCCAAAGAAAUUUCAAUUAAAAAGUCAAGUGAGUAGUCACAGAUUUUAUUAUUAUUAUUAUUAUUAUUUUUUUGCAAUGUUCACCAAGGUCUAGUCUUCGAAGACAUUGAAAGGGGGUGAAUUUUGUCCCAGCCUUAAUUAAAUGUACAACUAAAAUAAUUCUCUCUAUAUGAAUCUUUUAACUUACACGCACUACUUAAAAUACAAAGUUGAUUUUUUUUUCAGAUCAACAUUUUGAACUGCAACACUUUUUGGACCAAAUCCUGCUCAUCAUACUUAGCUGACUUAGUGGGACUGUUCACCUCUGUGAAGAGUAGAAUUCAUUCCUGUGCGGACUACCGGGACAAGGCCUAUGCAUUACUUAAGUGUUCAAAACAGGACAGAAGUGAGACUUAAGUAGUCCAUAAGCCAUGUGAAUGUCAGAGGUAAAUGUCACCCAAAGUUAACAGGGGCAGAGGGUGUUGCUUCAGACUAUAUGAGAACAGAAAUACAUAGAUAAUGGGCCAGCUCCUGCUCCCACUGAAGUCAGUGUGAAUUUGUCAUUGACUUCAAUGGGCACAAAAUCAUGCCCAGUAUUUGUAGCUGCAUUAUAGGGUUUGACUUUCUAGGUUUAAGGCCUGAAGGGCCUGAUCAUCUAGUCUGACACUUCCAUAUAUCCCAGGCCACCAACACCACCCAGCACCCACAUAUUAAACCCAACACUGGAGAUGAGACCAAAGUAAAUGAGACCCACAGGAGACUAGAUGAUAAUGUGCCACAGGCAGAGAACAGGAGAACCCAAAGGUGCACCAGUGCUCGAGGUGCCUACAGUGGCAAGGCAAUGAUUA